UCGAUAACCAAAGGAACACAAAUAAUUUCUUUCUUUCUUGUUCUUUCUCCUUGUUCAAGUCGACACAAACAAAAGAAAUCAAGAAAUCUUUUUUCUUGUUCUUCCUUUUAAUCAAGAGUUUGAAAUAAAUCAAAUAUUGUUUUUUUUUAAUCUAUCUUUCUUGGUCCGAUGGUGUCGUGAAGUUUGGUUUCCAGUUUGGAUGUGAAAAACGAAGAAGAAGCUGCAGGAUCUUCGAGGUUCUUGGGUUUUACUGGUGAAGUCGGGUUGUCGAAGACGGAGGAGCUCGAUUGCAGCAGUGGGGUGGUGAUGAUGUUCUUCAAAAAAAUGGCAACCCAGCAGGUGGUUCUGGUCUCAGAUUCUCGAUGGCAGCAGUAGGCAAAGGUGAUCGUUAUCAGUGAUGUUCGAGAGGGGUUGAUAUAAGGUGGUGGUUGUUGGUUUGUUGGAACGAAAACGAAAUGGAACGAAAACGAAAGCAGUAGAUGUAAGGCUUAUCGGAAUUUUCUUUGCUGUCCCAUUUCAAAUAUUAGUUAUUUCUUCUUAUUUCCUUUUCUUUUGUGGGUUGAUGCUGGAAAACGAAGAUCAAUAGUGUUGGCCUUGGUUGUAAGGCGAAAACGAAAGCAACAAUUGUUGGCUCUGGUCUCGGUUGUAAGGAAAAGAUGAAUGUGAAGAAAGUGCUACCUGGUGGUGUAUAGAAAGAUAAUGAGGCUGAACAAAAAAAAAUGUUCAAAAAAACAAAGAAAUAAAGAAAGAGAAUAGGGGCUACGUUUGAGAGAGAGAGACAGAGAGAGAGAGAGAGAGAGAGGGGGAGAGAGAAUGUGAGGGUAUAAUGCUGGUGCUAGAGUUUAUAUAAUGAAGAGUCUGCUUUUUGUAAAAGUUAAACAUGUAAUCCUAUUAUUUUGAUUGGCUGAUUCUUAUUCUCAAGGAUCACCAUCUUAGACCAUUCAAAUUAGAUCCAAAUCAUGUAAAUUAGAUCCAA